rnacentral:rRNA from 1 species
UGCAGUCGAACGCUUCUUUUUCCACCGGAGCUUGCUCCACCGGAAAAAGAAGAGUGGCGAACGGGUGAGUAACACGUGGGUAACCUGCCCAUCAGAAGGGGAUAACACUUGGAAACAGGUGCUAAUACCGUAUAACAAUCAAAACCGCAUGGUUUUGAUUUGAAAGGCGCUUUCGGGUGUCGCUGAUGGAUGGACCCGCGGUGCAUUAGCUAGUUGGUGAGGUAACGGCUCACCAAGGCCACGAUGCAUAGCCGACCUGAGAGGGUGAUCGGCCACAUUGGGACUGAGACACGGCCCAAACUCCUACGGGAGGCAGCAGUAGGGAAUCUUCGGCAAUGGACGAAAGUCUGACCGAGCAACGCCGCGUGAGUGAAGAAGGUUUUCGGAUCGUAAAACUCUGUUGUUAGAGAAGAACAAGGAUGAGAGUAACUGUUCAUCCCUUGACGGUAUCUAACCAGAAAGCCACGGCUAACUACGUGCCAGCAGCCGCGGUAAUACGUAGGUGGCAAGCGUUGUCCGGAUUUAUUGGGCGUAAAGCGAGCGCAGGCGGUUUCUUAAGUCUGAUGUGAAAGCCCCCGGCUCAACCGGGGAGGGUCAUUGGAAACUGGGAGACUUGAGUGCAGAAGAGGAGAGUGGAAUUCCAUGUGUAGCGGUGAAAUGCGUAGAUAUAUGGAGGAACACCAGUGGCGAAGGCGGCUCUCUGGUCUGUAACUGACGCUGAGGCUCGAAAGCGUGGGGAGCAAACAGGAUUAGAUACCCUGGUAGUCCACGCCGUAAACGAUGAGUGCUAAGUGUUGGAGGGUUUCCGCCCUUCAGUGCUGCAGCUAACGCAUUAAGCACUCCGCCUGGGGAGUACGACCGCAAGGUUG